CUUGAACCCAAACCUGUGAUAGUCAGGAGGUGAGAUGAACUGGGCAAAUGAGGACACACACUUACAGCAUGAGGAGGAGUUGGGUUCCUUUUAUAACACAAAGGGAGAAAAAAAACACACAAAGUACCUUCUUUAACAGAAUCCAGGUACCGGUCCUCAAAUAUAAUGGGAAGGGAACUGAAGUCCCCAUCUAGUUCAACGCAUUCCACAGGAAGAGCCGGCAAUGAACAAAAAUCUGGACAGAAAGACAGAAUAAUUACCCAAGAUUUAAGCCCCUUAGAAAUGUAUAUUUUUUAAAUUUAAUAGCAAUUUCCAAGGUGACAUAGGAUAAGGGGAAUUCCUGCAUGCAAGGAAAAGGAAAUAUGGUUUAGCCAGCAGCACUAUGGGAUAUUGUAAGCAUGUAACAACU